AAAAACUGAGGUGGUAUACGAUGGUUCCGCGUCUGAUUAGCUAGUUGGUGGGGUAAAAGCCUACCAAGGCAACGAUCAGUAGCCGGCCUGAGAGGGUGAACGGCCACAUUGGGACUGAGACACGGCCCAAACUCCUACGGGAGGCAGCAGUGGGGAAUAUUGCACAAUGGGGGAAACCCUGAUGCAGCGACGCCGCGUGAGUGAAGAAGUAUUUCGGUAUGUAAAGCUCUAUCAGCAGGGAAGAAAUACUGACCAUAGGGUCAGCAGACGGUACUUGACUAAGAAGCCCCGGCUAACUACGUGCCAGCAGCCGCGGUAAUACGUAGGGGGCAAGCGUUAUCCGGAUUUACUGGGUGUAAAGGGAGCGUAGACGGCAGCGCAAGUCUGAAGUGAAAUGCCAGGGCUUAACCCUGGAACUGCUUUGGAAACUGUGCAGCUAGAGUGCAGGAGAGGUAAGUGGAAUUUCUAGUGUAGCGGUGAAAUGCGUAGAUAUUAGGAGGAACACCAGUGGCGAAGGCGGCUUACUGGACUGUAACUGACGUUGAGGCUCGAAAGCGUGGGGAGCAAACAGGAUUAGAUACCCUGGUAGUCCACGCUGUA
rnacentral:rRNA from 1 species